UGUAAACAUCCCCGACUGGAAGCUGUGAGGCUGCACCUUAGCUUUCAGUCUGGUGUUUGCU
rnacentral:pre_miRNA from 1 species